rnacentral:lncRNA from 1 species
GGUAGGCGCGGGCCGGCAGGGGCGGGGCGCGAGCGCGGCUCAGGGCGAGCGGCAGCGGGUGCGCGCGCGGCUCCGCUCCGCUCUCGCCGUCUCCGCCGCCGCGGCUCCGCUCGCCCCGGCAUGAGGAAGCGCAACGAGUCCGUCACCGUGGAGCAUGAGCGCGCCGCCGCCGCCGCGCCGCCGCCGCUCGACAAGGGCUGCAGCCUGAGGCACAGCCUGCGCCUGCCCCCCGCCGCCGCCGCCGCGGGCAUGAAGCGACCGCUCGGCAGGAACUGCAUGAAUUGCAGACCUGUGCUUGUUUCACCACACUUAAACUUCCUGAUGUGGGCAGUUCUGGAGAACUCCUGGGACCAAGAUGGACUUUUCAGUCACUCAUGGAAGGAAGAUGUCUUUGUGGGGACCAGGAUCUUCUCAGUGUUGCAGUAUUUUCUGAACCCCUGUUCUAUUUCCAAGCUGGUUUUGCUUCCACAGAGUGUCCAUGACCUACUUAAAUGGCAUGUUGUUGCCUAAGCAGCUUGGUUUGCUGUGAAUCAAAUUCUCUGCAAAAUGAGUCACAGGACACAGGUGCGAGUCCAUAGGUUUCCUCCAGGAGGCAGUAAUAUGUAUUUCUCUUUGGUGAAAGCAACAUGAUGUCAUUUUAAUGAAAACUAACAAUGGCGGCAUCACUUCCUCUCCAGAAUCUGCUGCUGUGAUACCGGCAAGAGGCCUGCUAUACUUUCUAAGCAGGAUUCCUGCCAUGGAUGAAGAGUCCUGCCUGCUGCAUCCAGUUUUGUUUGAAAGGCACCAUCAAGUGACUUCCUCUGCUAACAACUCCUUUCAAGCCCAGAGUUGUCCUCUUAUAUCGCAGUUGGGAAGAAGAAAGGGUUUUCUUCAGUUACCUUCCUCCUGUUUUACUAGGAGUGGUGCUCGAAUAGCAAGAAUUGGUGUUUCUUCCAGGCCUCUCUGGAGAGAACAACUGAUCUGCAGGCCAUACUGUGGGCCUUUCCCUUUCAGCUGUAAUAUGCUUUUUGUCCAUCAAGCAGAGCAAAUACAAAGAUUUGAAGUCUCAAAUACCCUACUGUGAUAGGUAAUAAUUUGUUACAUCAACUCGUGAAGUGAUUUUACCAUGAAACUAGGUGCUAAGUACCGGCUAUCACCACAGUGAUUGUACUGAGUCAGCAGAGCGAUAUUGUAUUGUGAAAUGUAUGCGCGUGACCUG